GACGAACGCUGGCGGCGCGCUUAACACAUGCAAGUCGAGCGAUGAAAUUUCGACAGAUCCCUUCGGGGUGAAGAUGAAAUGGAUUAGCGGCGGACGGGUGAGUAACACGUGAGUAACCUGCCUUUGACAUUGGGAUAGCCUCGGGAAACUGGGAUUAAUACCAAAUGACACUAACUGAUCACAUGAUCAAUUAGUAAAAGAAAUUCGGUCAAAGAUGGACUCGCGGCUGAUUAGCUAGUUGGUGAGGUAACGGCCCACCAAGGCGACGAUCAGUAGCCGGCCUGAGAGGGUGAUCGGCCACAUUGGAACUGAGACACGGUCCAAACUCCUACGGGAGGCAGCAGUGGGGAAUAUUGCACAAUGGGGGAAACCCUGAUGCAGCGACGCCGCGUGAGCGAAGAAGGCCUUAGGGUCGUAAAGCUCUUUUAUGAGGGAAGAUAAUGACGGUACCUCAAGAAAAAGCCCCGGCUAACUACGUG
rnacentral:rRNA from 1 species